GUCUCUUCCAAGGAAACAAGAAAGUCCUCUAGGAACUUGAGAGCUCACUCAUUGGAUUCUUUCCAGCUUCACGUCAGGCCAUUCUCUGCACUGUUGGCUCUUCUAUAAAGGCAGAGCUGCUACAGCGAGAUCCAAUGCCAUUAUCAAGAACCGCAUCAUUAGACCGUCUGGUGGCUACAACUCCAAGAUAAACAGUUUCUUCUGUCAGCCACAGCAUUCCACAAAGCCCAGCGAUCACAACUGGGCAGUUGAAGGCACAGUUCAAGUGUACAGUCCACCAUGACUGAGAAGUCAAGGGAAGCCACUGACACUGACAUUGAUAUUGCUCAGAAGAUAACUGGAUUGUGGAGUGAUGUUGGGAGAAUAGAAAUCUUCUCAAUC
rnacentral:lncRNA from 1 species